AGAGUGUGAAAUGGGGCGAGAUAGAUGAGGCUUCUAUGUUUGUAUGCAUGUGCGAAAACAUCUGUAGGCCUACGAGAGAGAAAAGAGUGUAUAAUCGUUUUUCUGUUUCUUUUGUGAGGGUUUGGCACACGCUUUGCACACUCGACACCCCAAAAAAUCCUCCAAAAGUUAAUUAUGAAUUAUUAAUGUGAAUAAGGAGAUUUCAUGUUUGUUUUAGUGUACUAAAAUGUGGGGUCAGAAAGUCAAAAAACAUACAUUAACAGGACGUAGUUUAAUAUGACAAGGCUGAGCUUCUGGUCCUCUUAGCCAAGACCUGCCUCACAAAAACUCUAAAGGUCAUGCCGCCAUUGCCUCUAGGUGUGUUAAAACGUUCUGUGCCAUAGGAUGACGAGUCCUUUGUACACCACAUUAUGACAACUGUCCGAUCCGGCCGCUUCACGAAUAAUAACAAAAGAAAAACAAAGCCUUUUCUCCACAAUUUACUCUUCUGUGUAGCGUAUCUGCUCUUUAACAUUUUCAGGGCUAGACUACUGCAAAAGUCUUUCUUCCGGCAAAUGCCGUUACAGGUUUUCAAACGUAUCCAAAAUCCUGCCAUCCUGGCAACGGUCUGUUACUUGCUCUAUGCCUUUUACUUAUUUAUCUAAACAUGCGUUAGUACGUUGCGGUAUUUGAGUGUAGCACUACUUUUCAAACGUGCCGACUUGUUCAAGCAUGCCUCUUUUAAAAAGCCAUGUCAAGUUAGAUUAAGUUCUAAGCAAGAUUUAAAAUGCAUUGUGUGACCCUGCUUUCUUUUUCAUUCCUUUGCUUCUCAAAGUUCGAAUUUUUAAAUUCAAAAACACAUUCUGUGUGAAUGUACAUUUCAAAUAUAAAGAUCCUUUAGCUUCAGCAUUUAAACGGCAGACAUAUGUCUUGUAAACCUUCCUUAUUAGGACAUUUGUUGUUGUUUGUUGUUAGUUUAGUAGUUUAGUUUACAGUGUUUCUUCUUAGUGCUUUAGGCUAAGCUUCACAUGCUUUGUGAUCAUUAGCUGAUCUGAUUUGAUCUUGUAAUUGCUAUUUGCCAUUUGAUUCAUACGUGUAAUUCUUAAGUCUCUUUGGGAUGCCUUAUGAAACAGUAUAUUGGAAUAUAGCCUACUGGAAAUAUAAUGUAAACUAUUAAAUAAUGCAUACCAUAUAUGAGAAAAUAUUUUUUUUUUUUUUUUUAUAUAUACAUGUAUUAGUUUUGUUGAAACCCUCACUUAAUUAAUGCAUGGAUUUACAGGCUGCACACAUAUUAAUAAACUUUCAUCUCUUUAUUAUUUUCAUACACACUUCAUGAAAAUUAUUUGUAGUGGUUGUGACGCGUGUCCCGAGACCUCAUCAGCGUCGCCCUGGAAACGGAGGAGGAUCACCUGUACGACAUUAACACGGGCUGGCCGGCCACACCUGAAGCCCAUCAAGACGUGGAUAUAAGCACGCCGGGAACAGAGAAGGGUGAGAUAUGACUCCAGUUCGCGCAUCACUAACUUCCCUCUCCCUCUGUCACAGAGAGCAGCAUCUGACCGGCCAGCCCACAGCACACAGACUGCACGGACACCAGACCCUCUCUCACGCAGAGCACGGAAGACCAAGCUGAUCCUGGAGCACGACGAUCUCACCCACGAGCACUACGGCACGCUUGCACACCCCAAUAAACGCACCCUUCGGGGCAUUUAUUGAUCCUCCGUGUCCCGUUACACUGGUGGAGAAUGCGGGCAUAACACGGGAAGAAUCACCGACCGGCACUGUUUGUUUUCCCCCGUUCUGAUAUCUAUUUUUUUUUUUUCUGUUUUCACUCAGGCGGCGACUCCUCCCCAGCCAUGGAAGAACUGCUGAAACAUCUGACUGAAGUCAGCAUUCGACAACAGCAAAUCGUCGAACACAUGGCUGCCCGACAAGGAAAGGUGGUGCGGGAAAUCGCCGCCCUCUGGACCGCCUCCGCCCAGCGGGUUCCACUGCCCGACCCCCGUGUCCGAGCGCCGGCGCUACUGCCAAAGAUGACGGCCCACGAUGACGUCGAAAGCUUCCUCCUGAUGUUCGAGACAACGGCGAGUCAGGAAGGCUGGCCCCAGGACGAGUGGGCGCGCGCGCUGGCACCGCUGCUCACCGGCAAACCCCAACGCGCCUAUUUUUUGAUGUCACCAGAGGUGAGGAACUCCUACGAAGAAUUGAAGAAGGAGAUUCUAUCCCGGGUGGGCCUCUCGCCCAUCGCGGCGGCCCAAUUGGUACAUGACUGGGAAUACUCACCCUGGUUGCCAGCCCGCCCCCAGGCAGCCGAUUUGUCUCGCCUCGUACGCCACUGGUUGCUAGUAGGGGACCCCAGCGCCGCCCAAGUGGCCAAGCGGGUGGCCGUGGACCGUCUUCUUCGAGCCCUCCCGCGUCCCAUCCGCCAGGCUGCUGGCAUGCGGAACCCGCUCACCGUGGAAGAACUGGUGGAUGCCAUCGAGUUGGUGGAGGCGGCCCAACGUCGUGAGGCUGGGGAGCGAGCGCCACCAAUUCCCCGGAGGGUGCACCAGGAGCGACGCUCGCCGGAGGGUACCUAUCGGCCAGUAGGCAGGCCGGCGGCUCCCGAGGCCCAGGACGAGCCGAUGCCCACGGAGCCGCCCACCGCACCACGUCGGGCAUGGCUGGCAGAUUGCAUCGUCCACCAUGAGCCCCCACUGGCGGCCCCGAAGGUCAACGUCGAGGUCAACGGACAGCCCUACCGGGCACUGCUGGACUCGGGCAGUGCGAUCAGUCUGAUACAAUCGACCGUGGUAUCUCCGCGGCCAGGAUCCAAGGCCGUGCUCCCCAUCACCUGCGUGCAUGGCGAUACGCGCCAGGUCCCCACACGACGAGUCAACAUCACCGCCGCCUCUGGUUCCUGGCCCGUCGAAGUGGGCUUAGUGAAGGACCUUCCCGUCCCGGUCCUCCUAGGACGGAACUGGCCAGGAUUCGACCACCUGCUCGCUGAUGCCACCCAACCUGCCAGCCCGGCCGGGAGCCGCCGGACUCGGAGAUUCAGCCGCCGUCCCCGCCGACGCGCCGCCCUGCUUGCCUCGGACAGCCCCCGAGAUGGUGAGUCCCCCUCCCAAACCACUAACCUCUUCUAUGACAUCUUUCAACAGGUUAAGGGAGGUGGGGCUUUUGCUAAGGAGCAGCUCGGGGACGAGCGGCUGAAACACUGCUGGGCUCAAGUGAGGGUGACCGAAGGAAAGGAAGUUCAACCACCUCCCCACCCGGUCCCCCACUUCAUUGUGGAAAAUGGCCUGCUCUACUGCGUCGCACCACGAAGGGGGGAGGAAAAACAAUUGCUGGUAGUACUGCGAUCCAAGACGGAGACAGUGAUAGAGCUCGCCCACUCCCAUCCCAUGGCCGGUCACCUAGGGGCCCACAACACAAUCCAACGAAUUCGGGAUCGGUUCCACUGGCCCGGACUAGAUGCGGAGGUGAAGCGCUUCUGUCGCGCCUGCCCCACAUGCCAGCGGACCUCGCCCUGCACUCCUCCCCCCAGCCCGUUGAUUCCGCUGCCCAUCAUCGAGGUACCCUUCGAGCGAAUAGGCAUGGAUCUCGUGGGGCCGCUGCCGAAGUCUGCCCGGGGCCAUGAACACAUCCUGGUCAUAGUGGAUUAUGCCACUCGCUACCCCGAAGCCAUCCCCCUCCGGAAAGCGACAUCAAAGGCUAUCGCCCAGGAGCUCUUCCUGCUGUGUAGUCGAGUUGGCAUCCCCGCGGAGAUAUUGACCGACCAAGGCACUCCGUUUAUGUCCCGGACCAUGGCCGACCUCUGUCGCCUCCUGCAGGUUAAACAGCUCCGCAGAUCAGUCUACCACCCGCAGACCGAUGGGCUGGUCGAGAGAUUCAAUCAAACCUUGAAGCGGAUGCUCCGUCGGGUAGCCGCGGAGGACAAGCGAGAUUGGGACCAAAUGCUGCCGUACGUCCUCUUUGGGAUUCAUGAGGUGCCCCAAGCGUCAACCGGCUUCACCCCAUUCGAGCUCCUUUUCGGAUGCCAACCCCGCGGAUUACUCGACGUCGCCAAGGAAGCCUGGGAGCAACAGCCGGCCGCCCAUCGGUCCACGAUUGAGCACAUCCGUGAGAUGAGGGAACGGAUCGACAGGGUCAUGCCAAUGGUUCGGGAGCACCUCACCAAGGCUCAGCAGGCCCAACAACGCCACUAUGACCGGGCAGCCCAACCACGGGAAUUCCAGCCUGGAGAUCUCGUCCUAGUCCUGGUCCCCUCCACGGCCUGCAAAUUUCUGGCGAAAUGGCAGGGGCCAUACACUGUGACGGAAAGGGAGGGGCCCGUCACCUAUCGCAUACGCCAGCCCGGGAAACGGAAAGAAGAACAGCUGUAUCAUGUGAAUCUCCUGAAACGGUGGGUCGGGACGAGGACCCAGCUGGCCGCCCUAGCCACCUCCGCUCCCGUGGUUGUAGACGUCAACCCCCACCUAUCGGCUGCCCAGAAGACUGAGUUACAACACCUGGUCGGUCAAUUCUCCGACGUGUUCUCUCCACUCCCCGGGCGGACCCAUGUCCUUCAGCACGACAUCCGCACACCACCUGACACCAUCGUCCGGCAGCGGCCCUACCGAGUGCCAGAGGCUCGGCGACACGCCAUCGAAGAGGAAGUGCAGGAGAUCCUGAAGUUAGGGCUAAUAGAGCCCUCGCGCAGCCCCUGGUCCAGCCCCAUCGUCAUGGUACCGAAACAGGAUGGCACCCUCCGCUUUUGUAAUGACUUCUGCCGCCUAAAUGAGGUCUCCGAAUUCGAUGGGUAUCCCAUGCCGCGGGUGGACGAACUCCUAGAUCGGCUGGGGAGGGCCCGAUAUAUCUCCACAUUGGAUCUCACCAAAGGCUACUGGCAAGUGCCCCUGUCAGACGAAGCAAGACCGAAGACCACCUUCUCCACCCCCAGUGGGCACUGGCAGUAUCGGGUCCUCCCCUUCGGCCUGCAUGGGGCCCCAGCCACCUUCCAGAGGUUGAUGGACAUCCUGCUGAGGCCCCAUCAACCCUACUCAUGGAGCAGCGCAGGGUGCUCAUGGAGCUGCGCAGGGCGGGGCUAACCGCCAAUCCCCGGAAAUGCCACCUCGCCCUCGAUGAAGCCAAGUACCUGGGCUACCAGGUGGUCCGGGGACUUAUCAAACCCCAAGAGAAGAAGGUGGCAGCGAUUCUCUCUGCCCCACGGCCCACCUCCAAAACCCAGGUGCGUGCCUUUUUGGGAUUGGCAGGAUACUAUCGGUGUUUUAUCCCUAACUUCUCCUCCUUAGCAGCACCCCUGACAGACCUGACCAGGAAGGGGCAGCCGGAGAGAGUCGCCUGGGGACACCACGAAGAGGAGGCGUUCAAGAAGGUGAAGGAGGCUCUCACCGCGGCACCGGUGCUCCGAGCCCCAGACUUUAACUGCCCCUUCCUGCUGCAAACGGACGCCUCCGACACCGGGUUGGGAGCCGUCCUCUCCCAGGUGCAGGACGGUGAGGAACACCCGGUGAUUUACAUCAGCCGAAAGCUGACCCCCACGGAAACAACGGUACGCCGCCGUGGAGAAGGAAGCGUUGGCCGUCAAGUGGGCAGUCCUGGAGCUCAGGUAUUACCUACUCGGCCGGAAAUUCACGCUGUUCACCGAUCACGCCCCUCUGCAGUGGAUGGCACGGGCCAAGGAGACGAAUGCGAGGGUCACCCGCUGGUUCCUGGCACUCCAGGACUUCCACUUCGUCGUGCAACAUCGGGCGGGGACGGCCAACGCAAACGCCGACGGACUUUCCCGGAUCUGGUCAGCUUUCGCAGGUCUGUCAGGUUUUCUCCCCACCCCCCACCCCCCCACACUUUCCCCUUUCGCCCGCAGGAACAGGACGACGCUUAGCGGGGGGGAGUGUGACACGUGUCCCGAGACCUCAUCAGCGUCGCCCUGGAAACGGAGGAGGAUCACCUGUACGACAUUAACACGGGCUGGCCGGCCACACCUGAAGCCCAUCAAGACGUGGAUAUAAGCACGCCGGGAACAGAGAAGGAGAGCAGCAUCUGACCGGCCAGCCCACAGCACACAGACUGCACGGACACCAGACCCUCACUCACGCAGAG